rnacentral:rRNA from 1 species
GAGUUUGAUCAUGGCUCAGAACGAACGCUGGCGGCAUGCCUAACACAUGCAAGUCGAACGAAGUCUUCGGACUUAGUGGCGCACGGGUGCGUAACGCGUGGGAAUCUGCCCUUGGGUACGGAAUAACUCAGAGAAAUUUGUGCUAAUACCGUAUAAUGUCUUCGGACCAAAGAUUUAUCGCCCAAGGAUGAGCCCGCGUAAGAUUAGCUAGUUGGUGAGGUAAGAGCUCACCAAGGCGACGAUCUUUAGCUGGUCUGAGAGGAUGAUCAGCCACACUGGGACUGAGACACGGCCCAGACUCCUACGGGAGGCAGCAGUGGGGAAUAUUGGACAAUGGGCGAAAGCCUGAUCCAGCAAUGCCGCGUGAGUGAUGAAGGCCUUAGGGUUGUAAAGCUCUUUUACCCGGGAUGAUAAUGACAGUACCGGGAGAAUAAGCUCCGGCUAACUCCGUGCCAACAGCCGCCGCGGUAAU